rnacentral:rRNA from 1 species
UACGUAGGGUGCAAGCGUUGCCCGGAUUUAUUGGGCGUAAAGGGCGCGUAGGCGGCUCGGCACGUCCGUUGUGAAAUCGCCCGGCUCAACUGGGCGGGGUCAGCGGAUACGGUCGAGCUUGAGCAAGCUAGGGGGCAAUGGAAUUCCCGGUGUAGUGGUGGAAUGCGUAGAUAUCGGGAGGAACACCAGUGGCGAAGGCGGGUCUCUGGGCCACUACUGACGCUGAGGAGCGAAAGCGUGGGGAGCGAACAGG